UCACGAACAAGGCAAACCAUUCGAAAGAUUGGGACGCAAAGCUUCCGGCCUAAAAGUGUUUAGUUUUAUGAACUAUGUCACUUAUGGUAGCGGGGUUGCCGAU
rnacentral:ncRNA from 1 species